CCUAGAACAGGACAGCCUGCCUCAUGGCGCACGUGUGUACAGUGAUCAGUGAAAGGGCGGAAAGCAAGGAGUGCUGUCUGCAUGUAUACCUGCAUGCCAGAAGAGGGCACCACAUCUCUUUAUAGAUGGUCGUAAGCUACAGCGUGAUUGCUGAGACUUCAACUCAGGACCUCUGGAAGAGUGCUUACUGGCUUUUUCCAUCUUAACAACCUGAAAUGAUACUACAGAAGCAGUGUGAGGUCAAGAACCCAGCUCAUCUCAGCAGAGGCCUGCUUAGACUGUCCAGGGAGCAGCUCUCCUCUGGGAUUUAUGCUGCCAGAAAGGAUGUGAAGCCCUGGGGCCAGCAACCCUGCCUCACACUUACCUGUGAAGUGAAGAGACCCUUUCAACAGCUCUUUCCCCGCCACUUCUCUUCUCAGAAAUUCGAAUUCUUCCAUCAAGAGUUCGAUGUGCUCCUCAUGCAGGACUCUCCCUGUUGUGACAACGUAGAAUAAAAGGUGGCCAUUACCCAGUGGACAGCUACCUCUUUGCUUGCA